AAUGACGUAUCAUUAAUAGCAGAAACCCUUGUUUUGAGUUAUUUUGAUUAAAUUGCAAGGACUUUUAAACAUUGAUUUAAUAGCUGGCAAGUGUGGAGAAAUUGUUUUUUGGCAACAACCAGCAAGGAUCACAGUUUUCGGGAUGGGUCAAGUUUGAGCCGCGGCCGGAGUUGACUGGACUGUGGUUAGGUGUGUGACUGUCGAUUUAUGUAGUGUUUUGUUUAUGAAUUAAAAUAUUGUUUAUUUUAUUUUUAUAACGUCGAUGCAACUAAAACGUAAGGUCAAUUACCCAUCAACCCGGUCUGAUCAUAAAGGCUUCCAUUCCAUUGAUUUAAGGU